CACGUAGGCGGCUUUUUAAGUCAGGGGUGAAAUCCCGGGGCUCAACCCCGGAACUGCCCUUGAAACUGGGAAGCUAGAAUCCUGGAGAGGCGAGUGGAAUUCCGAGUGUAGAGGUGAAAUUCGUAGGUAUUCGGAAGAACACCAGUGGCGAAGGCGACUCGCUGGACAGGUAUUGACGCUGAGGUGCGAAAGCGUGGGGAGCAAACA
rnacentral:rRNA from 1 species